rnacentral:rRNA from 1 species
ACGAAGGGGGCUAGCGUUGUUCGGAUUUACUGGGCGUAAAGCGCUCGUAGGCGGAUCUUUAAGUCAGAGGUGAAAUCCCGGAGCUCAACUUCGGAACUGCCUUUGAUACUGGGGAUCUCGAGUCCGGGAGAGGUGAGUGGAAUUGCGAGUGUAGAGGUGAAAUUCGUAGAUAUUCGCAGGAACACCAGUGGCGAAGGCGGCUCACUGGCCCGGUACUGACGCUGAGGAGCGAAAGCGUGGGGAGCAAACAGG